GUGAUGACAGACAAAGCUGUAGCAGUGCUCAAAGUUUAUAUCAGGCUCUGAGGCUAUGUGUUUUAACAUAGAUGAUCUGCAAUUGCGAACAGUAGAAAUUACAAAUCCUCUCAGCUGGUGAAGACAGACUAAGCUGUAGUGCUGCCCAAGGUCUAGAUCAGGCUGGGAAGUUGUGUGUUCAACACUGAUGUUGUGCUAUUGCCAACAGUGGAAAUUACAGAUAACCCAGCUGUGAGAUACGGAAAUUUCUUUUUUGUGUAUUUACUGAUAAAUACUUACCAGAGUGUUUUAUUGGGCUGUCUCCCCAUACUGCCCUGAAGUCUAAGUCGUGAUGACUGACUAACGUGUAGCAAAGCCCAAGGUCUAAGUCAGGCUGGAAGGAUGUGUGUUUUAACGUUGAUGAUGUGCAAUUGCCAACAGUAGAAAUUGC